rnacentral:misc_RNA from 1 species
AAGUCGUAACAAGGUUUCCGUAGGUGAACCUGCGGAAGGAUCAUUACCGUGGGGCUUCGGCCCCAUUGAGAUAGCACCCUUUGUUUAUGAGUACCCUUGUUUCCUCGGCGGGCUUGCCCGCCAUGAGGACAAUAAAAACCCUUUGUAGUAGCAGUAACUUCAGUUAAUAAUAAAUAUUAAAACUUUCAACAACGGAUCUCUUGGUUCUG